GACGAACGCUGGCGGCGUGCUUAACACAUGCAAGUCGAACGGAAAGGCCCUGCUUUUGUGGGGUGCUCGAGUGGCGAACGGGUGAGUAACACGUGAGUAACCUGCCCUUGACUUUGGGAUAACUUCAGGAAACUGGGGCUAAUACCGGAUAGGAGCUCCUGCUGCAUGGUGGGGGUUGGAAAGUUUCGGCGGUUGGGGAUGGACUCGCGGCUUAUCCGCUUGUUGGUGGGGUAGUGGCUUACCAAGGCUUUGACGGGUAGCCGGCCUGAGAGGGUGACCGGCCACAAUGGGACUGAGAGACGGCGCAGAAGGCUACGGGAGGCAGCAGUGGGGAGUAUGGCAGAACGGGCGGAAGCCUGAUGCAGCAACGCCGCGUGCGGGAUGACGUCCUUCGGGUUGUAAACCGCUUUCGCCUGUGACGAAGCGUGAGUGACGGUAAUGGGUAAAGAAGCACCGGCUAACUACGUG
rnacentral:rRNA from 1 species